rnacentral:tRNA from 1 species
CGCUGGAAGGUGCGGAGGGAGCACGCUGGUCUUAAUAGCCAGAGGUCGCAGGUUCGAAUCCUGCUCCAGCAA